rnacentral:ncRNA from 2 species
GUUGCGCGGCGAGUAGUUGAUGAAGGCAAAGCCGCGCGUCUGGUCGAUGACAUGGAACAGCGGGUUCCACGAGAACAUGUGCAGCAACGCGCUGGGCAUCAGGUUCGCCACGAACAUCUUGCCCGAAAACACCAUGUUGAUGCGCUG